GAUGAACGCUAGCGGGAGGCCUAACACAUGCAAGCCGAGCGGUAGAGAUCUUUCGGGAUCUUGAGAGCGGCGUACGGGUGCGGAACACGUGUGCAACCUGCCUUUAUCAGGGGGAUAGCCUUUCGAAAGGAAGAUUAAUACCCCAUAAUAUAUCGAGUGGCAUCACUUGAUAUUGAAAACUCCGGUGGAUAGAGAUGGGCACGCGCAAGAUUAGAUAGUUGGUGAGGUAACGGCUCACCAAGUCUGCGAUCUUUAGGGGGCCUGAGAGGGUGAUCCCCCACACUGGUACUGAGACACGAACCAGACUCCUACGGGAGGCAGCAGUGAGGAAUAUUGGACAAUGGGUGCGAGCCUGAUCCACCCAUCCCGCGUGAAGGAUGACGGCCCUAUGGGUUGUAAACUUCUUUUGUAUAGGGAUAAACCUACCCUCGUGAGGGUAGCUGAAGGUACUAUACGAGUAAGCACCGGCUAACUCCGUGCCAGCAGCCGCGGUAAUACGGAGGGUGCAAGCGUUAUCCGGAUUUAUUGGGUUUAAAGGGUCCGUAGGCGGAUCUGUAAGUCAGUGGUGAAUUCUCACAGCUUAACUGUGAAACUGCCAUUGAUACUGCAGGUCUUGAGUGUUGUUGAAGUAGCUGGAAUAAGUAGUGUAGCGGUGAAAUGCAUAGAUAUUACUUAGAACACCAAUUGCGAAGGCAGGUUACUAAGCAACAACUGACGCUGAUGGACGAAAGCGUGGGGAGCGAACAGGAUUAGAUACCCUGGUAGUCCACGCCGUAAACGAUGCUAACUCGUUUUUGGUAUUUCGGUAUCAGAGACUAAGCGAAAGUGAUAAGUUAGCCACCUGGGGAGUACGAACGCAAGUUUGAAACUCAAAGGAAUUGACGGGGGCCCGCACAAGCGGUGGAUUAUGUGGUUUAAUUCGAUGAUACGCGAGGAACCUUACCAAGGCUUAAAUGGGAAAUGACAGGCUUAGAAAUAGGCUUUUCUUCGGACAUUUUUCAAGGUGCUGCAUGGUUGUCGUCAGCUCGUGCCGUGAGGUGUUAGGUUAAGUCCUGCAACGAGCGCAACCCCUGUCACUAGUUGCCAUCAUUAAGUUGCGGACUCUAGUGAGACUGCCUACGCAAGUAGAGAGGAAGGUGGGGAUGACGUCAAAUCAUCACGGCCCUUACGCCUUGGGCCACACACGUAAUACAAUGGCCGGUACAGAGGGCAGCUACACAGCGAUGUGAUGCAAAUCUCGAAAGCCGGUCUCAGUUCGGAUUGGAGUCUGCAACUCGACUCUAUGAAGCUGGAAUCGCUAGUAAUCGCGCAUCAGCCAUGGCGCGGUGAAUACGUUCCCGGGCCUUGUACACACCGCCCGUCAA
rnacentral:rRNA from 1 species